UACAGAGGCCUCGAGCGUUAGGCGGAAUCACUGGGCUUAAAGCGUGUGUAGGCGGAUGUCUAAGUGCCUUGUGAAAUCCCACGGCUUAACCGUGGAACUGCUUGGCAUACUGGAUGUCUUGAGCCACUCAGGGGCGAGCGGAACAAAUGGUGGAGCGGUGAAAUGCGUAGAUAUCGAGAGGAACACCUGCGGCGAAGGCGGGUUGCUGGGCUGACACUGACGCUGAGGCGCGAAAGCCAGGGGAGCGAACGGG
rnacentral:rRNA from 1 species